rnacentral:ncRNA from 1 species
CAGAGUAGAAGCAGGCGCGUUAAGUGCCGGUUGGACGGGAAGUUGCCAGCCGGACGAGUGGGCCAGAGGCUCAGCGGUGCCUGUUUCGCAUUCCGCUGU